ACACGACUACAUUAGAUACCCGCGUAGUCCUAGCCGUAAACGAUACUCGCUAGGUGUCGGCCACGGUGCGACCGUUGUCGGUGCCGUAGGGAAGCCGUGGAGCGAGCCACCUGGGAAGUGCGGCCGCAAGGCUGAAACUUAAAGGAAUUGGCGGGGGAGCACAACAACGGGUGGAGCUUGCGGUUUAAUUGGAUUCAACGCCGGAAAUCUUACCGGGACCGACAGCAACAUGAAGGCCAAGCUGAAGACUUUGCCGGAUUAGCUG
rnacentral:rRNA from 1 species